rnacentral:rRNA from 1 species
AGAGUUUGAUUAUGGCUCAGGAUGAACGCUAGCUACAGGCUUAACACAUGCAAGUCGAGGGGCAGCAUGAAGGAAGCUUGCUUCCUUGAUGGCGACCGGCGCACGGGUGAGUAACGCGUAUCCAACCUGCCACAUACUCGGGGAUAGCCCGGUGAAAACCGAAUUAAGACCCGAUGGCAUCCUUUGAGGACAUCUGACGAGGAUUAAAGGCAACGGUAUGUGAUGGGGAUGCGUCCGAUUAGCUUGUUGGCGGGGUAACGGCCCACCAGGGCGACGAUCGGUAGGGGUUCUGAGAGGAAGGUCCCCCACAUUGGUACUGAGACACGGACCAAACUCCUACGGGAGGCAGCAGUGAGGAAUAUUGGUCAAUGGGCGGAAGCCUGAACCAGCCAAGUAGCGUGCAAGGAUGACGGCCCUAUGGGUUGUAAACUGCUUUUGUCAGGGAACAAAGUGAGGCCACGUGUGCCUUUUUGCGUGUACCUGUCGAAUAAGGACCGGCUAAUUCCGUGCCAGCCGCAGC